rnacentral:tRNA from 1 species
GGACCUGUAGUGUAGCGGAUAUCACUUAAGCCUCCGGAGCUUAGAACCCGGGUUCGAGUCCCGGCAGGUCCGC